rnacentral:rRNA from 1 species
AUUGAACGCUGGCGGCAGGCCUAACACAUGCAAGUCGAACGAGUAGCGGACGGGUGGGUAAGUUAGGGGAAACUGCCUAACGUAGGGAGCAAACUACGGGAAACGUUAGCUAAUACCGCAUACCAUCCGAUGUGCCCUGAUGGCAUUAGGUUGUUGGUGGGGUAACGGCUCACCAAGGCGACGAUCCCUAGCUGGCCUGAGAGGAUGACCGGCCACACUGGAACUGAGACACGGUCCAGACUCCUACGGGAGGCAGCAGUGGGGAAUAUUGCGCAAUGGGCGAAAGCCUGAUCCAGCCAUGCCGCGUGUAUGAAGAAGGCUUUCGGGUUGUAAAGCACUGUUAGGGGGGAAGCGUUACCCGCCCAAGAAGCACCGGCUAACUCCGUGCCAGCAGCCGCGGUAAUUC